UCCGGUUUGACACCGGCAGUCCCGCUAGAGUCCCCGACAUGACUCGCUGGCAACUAGCGGCAGGGGUUUCGCUCGUUAGAGGACUUAACCCGACACUUCACAGCACGAGCUGACGACAGCCAUGCAGCACCUGUGCAUGUUCCACUCAAAGAGCGUCAUUCCGCUUUCACGGAACUAAUCCAUGCAUGUCAAGCCCAGGAUAAGGUUCUUCGCGUUGCUUCGAAUUAAGCCACAUGUUCCACCGCUUGUGUGAGCCCCCGUCAAUUCCUUUGAGUUUUAGCCUUGCGACCGUACUCCCCAGGCGGUACACUUAAUACUUUUGCUCCAGCCGUGCUGGCGUCAAAACCCUCACGACCUAGUGUACAUCGUUUACGGCGUGGACUAC
rnacentral:misc_RNA from 1 species